AGAGUUUGAUCCUGGCUCAGAACGAACGCUGGCGGCAGGCUUAACACAUGCAAGUCGAACGCUCGUAGCAAUACGGGAGUGGCAGACGGGUGAGUAACGCGUGGGAACAUACCCUCCGGUUCGGAAUAGCUCAGGGAAACUUGGAUUAAUACCGGAUACGGCUGAGAGGCGAAAGAUUUAUCGCCGGAGGAUUGGCCCGCGUUCGAUUAGCUUGUUGGUGAGGUAACGGCUCACCAAGGCGAUGAUCGAUAGCUGGUCUGAGAGGAUGAUCAGCCACAUUGGGACUGAGACACGGCCCAAACUCCUACGGGAGGCAGCAGUGGGGAAUAUUGGACAAUGGGCGCAAGCCUGAUCCAGCCAUGCCGCGUGAGUGAUGACGGCCUUAGGGUUGUAAAGCUCUUUCGCUCGGGACGAUAAUGACGGUACCGAGAUAAGAAGCCCCGGCUAACUUCGUGCCAGCAGCCGCGGUAAUACGAAGGGGGCUAGCGUUGUUCGGAAUUACUGGGCGUAAAGCGCGUGUAGGCGGGUCUUUAAGUCAGGGGUGAAAUGCCAAGGCUCAACCUUGGAACUGCCUUUGAUACUGGAGAUCUUGAGUCCGGGAGAGGUGAGUGGAAUUGCGAGUGUAGAGGUGAAAUUCGUAGAUAUUCGCAAGAACACCAGUGGCGAAGGCGGCUCACUGGCCCGGAACUGACGCUGAGACGCGAAAGCGUGGGGAGCAAACAGGAUUAGAUACCCUGGUAGUCCACGCUGUAAACGAUGGAUGCUAGCCGUUGGGGAGCUUGCUCUUCAGUGGCGCAGCCAACGCUUUAAGCAUCCCGCCUGGGGAGUACGGUCGCAAGAUUAAAACUCAAAGGAAUUGACGG
rnacentral:rRNA from 2 species